rnacentral:piRNA from 1 species
UAGGGGUUCUGAGAAUCGCUCGGUUG